GGGCCUGUUCUGGUAUUGACGGGAAAGUCUAGUUGCUUCGUAAGCAUGCCGGAGCAUAAGCGGUUACUCCGUAAAAACUAACGCUUGACCAUUAAUUGGCAACACACAGUAUGCCAUGGCUGCCUAAUUAGAGAUAAUUAGAAUGCCUUUAUGCCGUACGAUUGAGGCUCCAUACACAUCGUGCCGCGUAUCAACUUUUUGGGGCUAGUUUGCAGAACGCCGUUACUGCAGGCGAAACUUUAACGGCUAAGGUGCGGAGUGGUUGGUUUCGGAACCUAUCCCGGACUCGAAAACCUUAAUCUGAAACUAAGCAUGUAGAAGGCGUUGUGGCGCUUUGUCCGGACGCGGGUUCGACUCCCGCCAGGUCCACAA
rnacentral:tmRNA from 1 species